UCACUUCUCUUCUUUAGUCCUCUCCCUUACACACAGACAGCAGAGAGAGAGAGAGAGAGAGAGAGAGAGAUGAAAGCCCUCAACAGCCGCGAAAUCCUGACCGCUCCUCUACUCGUAAAGAUCUCGGCCUUCGCUCUCACAUCCAUCGCCUUCUUCUACCUCGGCAAGCACUGGUCAGAAUCCGACGGCUACCAGCCUCUCCCCUUCUUCAGCAGCCGCCCAUACCAACCGUCCAUCUCCAUCUCUCCAAAUGCCAACAAGCAGUUCGACAUCUCCUCCCUCAUCUCCAACCAGUCCGACACUCCUCAGUCGUCCGAUUCGACUCUCCUCCCCCCUCCUCCCCCAGAUCGAUUCGGGAUCGUUGAUGAGAACGGCACGAUGACCAACAACUUCGAUGUCGGCAGCGUCGGCUCUGAUCCGAUCGAGAAUUUGGAUGAUGGAAAUUCGACAGCGGAGAUCGAAGGAGGCAGCAGCGAGGGUUCUAGGGUUAGGCUUGCAAGGUUCCAGCUUUGCAAUGAGAGUAUGUCGGAGUAUAUUCCUUGUUUGGAUAAUGUGGAGGCGAUCCGGAAGCUGAAAUCGACGGAGAAGGGGGAGAAGUACGAGCGGCAUUGCCCGGAAGAAGGGAAGGGUUUGGAUUGCUUGGUCCCACCGCCGAAGCGUUACCAGAUGCCGAUCCCGUGGCCCCAAAGCAGAGAUGAGGUAUGGUACAGCAAUGUACCACAUCCACGUUUGGUUGAAGAUAAAGGAGGUCAGAAUUGGAUUUCAAUAGAUAAAGACAAAUUUAAAUUCCCAGGUGGCGGAACCCAGUUUAUACAUGGAGCUGAUCAGUACUUGGAUCAGAUGUCUGAGAUGGUACCGGACAUUACAUUUGGUCAUCAUACAAGAGUUGUCUUGGAUGUUGGAUGUGGAGUAGCAAGCUUUGGUGCUUUUCUGGUUUUGCGGAAUGUGACUGUUUUAUCUGUAGCCCCGAAAGAUGUUCAUGAGAACCAGAUUCAAUUCGCUCUUGAACGUGGUGUUCCAGCUAUGGUGGCAGCUUUUGCAACACGUCGUCUGUUGUAUCCAAGCCAGGCUUUUGACUUGAUACAUUGUUCAAGGUGUCGAAUUAAUUGGACUCGCGAUGAUGGAAUUUUGCUUCUUGAGGUAAACAGGAUCCUUAGGGCGGGAGGGUACUUCGCUUGGGCAGCACAGCCAGUUUAUAAACACGAAGAGAGCCAAAUAGAAGCAUGGAAAGUGAUGGAGAACCUUACUGCUCGUAUUUGCUGGAAGCUUGUGAAGAAGGAGGGAUACAUUGCCAUAUGGCAGAAGCCUUUAAACAACAGCUGUUACCUCAGUCGUGAUUCUGGAUCUCAGCCGCCUCUAUGCGAUGCAGAUGAUGACCCAGACCGUGUUUGGUACGUUGAUCUGAAACCAUGCAUCACCCGCAUUCCUGAGAAGGGAUACAGAGCAAAUGUCACAACGUGGCCUGCACGCCUGCAUCAUCCACCAGACAGGCUGCAGACUGUAGAGAUGGAUGCAUACAUGGCAAAAAAGGAGCUCUUCAAAGCAGAAUCGAAGUUUUGGAAUGACAUAAUAGCAUCCUUUGCCCGCGCUUAUCAUUGGAGAGAAUUACAAUUACGGAAUGUUAUGGACAUGAGGGCUGUGUUUGGAGGAUUUGCAGCUGCAUUAAUUGAUUAUCAUUUCGAUGCCUGGGUGAUGAAUGUCGUUCCUACUAGUGGGCCCAACACCUUGCCUGUCAUAUAUGAUCGUGGGCUUAUUGGAGUUACCCAUGAUUGGUGUGAGCCGUUCGAUACAUAUCCAAGAACUUAUGAUCUAUUGCAUGCAUCAGGCCUCUUCUCCAUAGAGCGGAAAAGAUGUAAUAUCACUAGCAUCUUGCUUGAGAUGGAUCGGAUACUAAGACCUGGGGGGCACGCCUACAUCCGUGACUCUAUAUCAGUCAUUAGAGAAGUUAAGGAAAUCACAACGGCCAUGGGGUGGAGGACGUCCAUGCAUGAUACAUCUGAGGGCCCUUAUGCAAGCCGAAGGGUGUUAAGGUGUGAUAAGGAGCUUCUGCAUGCUUGAAUUCAGCAACUCCGAAAAGAAAAACCCCUCUUUUUUCUCUUUGCUUCUAAUGUGAGAAAGAAAGAACAAAGAAAUCAAGCAAAAAAAAGCACGAGGCAUCUUUGCAGAGUGUAUCAAUGGCAGUGCUGCCGAUCAGGUCAGGUUGCAUUGAGCCGAGUUGUGUUUGAGUUGGAAAUCCUCAACCUAGUCAUAGGUCGGUUUGGUCUUGGUUUGAGGCCUGAGGCAACUAGAUUCGGACCAUCUCUAUUAUAUACAGUGUGAGUAACAUUGGACAAUUUUACCCAUGCAAGGUUGUCAUGUUUAUCAGCCUACAGCUCAGAUUUUACCUGCU